AUUAUUCACGGUCGCGUUACUAUUUUUAUUUUUAAUUUUUUUUUAAUUGCUCGAUAUAUUCGGGAUUAGAGUCAAAGCACCACUGAAGAGGAGUUUUGGGCGUUGCUCCAUAAGGAAAGAGUAUGAAUUUUUUGAUUGCCGAGUUCCUGGAUAUCCUGAUGAUGGCUUUCUUCACGACUUCCGUCUUGAUGAAUUUCUUCACGACUUCAGUAUUCUCCUACAAGGCAGCCUCCUACCUGGUGUUGUCCAUCCUCCUACUUGACUGUCGGAAGAAGAGUAUAUCUGCGAACGGUGAGUCGCAUGUUUUAUGGUUCCUCUGGUGCCCAAUCAUGUCGUAGGACGAAUGGUCCGAAUCGACACGGGCUACUAGUUGUAUA